rnacentral:rRNA from 1 species
UGGGGAAUAUUGGACAAUGGGCGAAAGCCUGAUCCAGCCAUGCCGCGUGUGUGAAGAAGGUCUUCGGAUUGUAAAGCACUUUAAGUUGGGAGGAAGGGCAGUAAGCGAAUACCUUGCUGUUUUGACGUUACCGACAGAAUAAGCACCGGCUAACUCUGUGCCAGCAGCCGCGGUAAUACAGAGGGUGCAAGCGUUAAUCGGAAUUACUGGGCGUAAAGCGCGCGUAGGUGGUUCGUUAAGUUGAAUGUGAAAGACCCGGGCUCAACCUGGGAACUGCAUCCGAAACUGGCGAGCUAGAGUAGGGCAGAGGGUGGUGGAAUUUCCUGUGUAGCGGUGAAAUGCGUAGAUAUAGGAAGGAACACCAGUGGCGAAGGCGACCACCUGGGCUCAUACUGACGCUGAGGUGCGAAAGCGUGGGGAGCAAACAGG